rnacentral:sRNA from 1 species
CUCGAGCGAAGCGAGAGAACGUUGCCGCAGGCAACGGCCCGAAGGGCGAGGCGCUUUAGCGCCGAGUAAUCCUUCCCCCACCACCA